rnacentral:rRNA from 1 species
GUGGAAGAGUGGCGAACGGGUGAGGAACACGUAAGAAUCUGCCCCUCAGUCGGGGACAACCCUUGGAAACGAGGGCUAAUACCCGAUACGCUGUGGAGUGAAAGAAUUUCGCUGAGGGAUGAUCUUGCGUCUGAUUAGCUAGUUGGUGUGGUAAUGGCACACCAAGGCGACGAUCAGUAGCUGGUCUGAGAGGAUGAACAGCCACAUUGGAACUGAGACACGGUCCAAACUCCUACGGGAGGCAGCAGUGGGGAAUUUUCCGCAAUGGACGAAAGUCUGACGGAGCGACGCUGCGUGAAGGAUGACGGCCUGCGGGUUGUAAACUUCUUUUCUCGAAGAAGAAGCUCUGACGGUAUUCGAGGAAUAAGCAUCGGCUAACUCCGUGCCAGCAGCCGCGGUAAGACGGAGGAUGCAAGUGUUAUUCGGAAUGAUUGGGCGUAAAGAGUCUGUANGCUGUAUGGAAAGUCUUUUGUUAAAUGCCUCGGCUCAACCGAGAUCCAGCAAAGGAAACUUCUAUACUUGAGGAAAGUAGAGGUACAGGGAAUUCCCGGUGGAGC